AUUCCAGCUCCAGUAGCGUAUAUUAAAGUUGUUGCAGUUAAAAAGCUCGUAGUUGGAUUUCUGACUUCAAACACCUGACCCUCCCUCGCUAGAGGUGUGUGUGCCGGAGUGUUUGUAUCAUCCUUUCAGUGAUCGGUUCUACCCUUAACCGGGUCGGAACUGUUAACUGGAUCUUUUACUUUGAAGAAAUUGGAGUGUUUAAAGCAGGCUUACGCCAGAACAUAUUAGCAUGGAAUAAUAAUUUAGGACUUUUGUUCUAUUUUGUUGGUUUCUAGGACGAAAGUAAUGAUUGAUAGGGAUAGUUGGGGGUGCUAGUAUUCGGCGGCCAGAGGUGAAAUUCUUUGAUCCGCUGAAGACUAACUUAUGCGAAAGCAUUCACCAAGGAUGUCUUCAUCG
rnacentral:rRNA from 1 species